UACGGGGGGAGCAAGCGUUGUUCGGAUUUACUGGGCGUAAAGGGCGCGUAGGCGGUCAGCACAAGUCAGUUGUGAAAUCUCCGAGCUUAACUCGGAAAGGUCAACUGAUACUGUGCGACUAGAGUGCAGAAGGGGCAACUGGAAUUCUUGGUGUAGCGGUGAAAUGCGUAGAUAUCAAGAGGAACACCUGCGGCGAAGGCGGGUUGCUGGGCUGACACUGACGCUGAAGUGCGAAAGCCAGGGGAGCGAACGGG
rnacentral:rRNA from 1 species